GAUGAACGCUGGCGGCGUGCCUAAUACAUGCAAGUCGAGCGAACAGACGAGAGUGCUUGCACUCUCUGACGUUAGCGGCGGACGGGUGAGUAACACGUGGGUAACCUACCUAUAAGACUGGGAUAACUUCGGGAAACCGGAGCUAAUACCGGAUAAUAUUUAGCUUCGCAUGAAGCAAUAGUGAAAGACGGUUCUGCUGUCACUUAUAGAUGGACCCGCGGUGUAUUAGCUGGUUGGUGAGGUAACGGCUCACCAAGGCAACGAUACAUAGCCGACCUGAGAGGGUGAUAGGCGACACUGGGACUGAGACACGGCCAAGAGUCCUACGGGAGGCAGCAGUAGGGAAUCUUCCGCAAUGGACGAAAGUCUGACGGAGCAAUGCCGCGUGAGUGAAGAAGGUUUUCGGAUCGUAAAACUCUGUUGUAAGGGAAGAACAAGUACGUUAGUAACUGAACGUACCUUGACGGUACCUUACCAGAAAGCCACGGCUAACUACGUG
rnacentral:rRNA from 1 species